rnacentral:rRNA from 1 species
AGCAGUGGGGAAUUUUGCACAAUGGGCGAAAGCCUGAUGCAGCGACGCCGCGUGAGGGAUGACGGCCUUCGGGUUGUAAACCUCUUUCAGUAGGGAAGAAGCGAAAGUGACGGUACCUGCAGAAGAAGCGCCGGCUAACUACGUGCCAGCAGCCGCGGUAAUACGUAGGGCGCAAGCGUUAUCCGGAAUUAUUGGGCGUAAAGAGCUCGUAGGCGGUUUGUCGCGUCUGCCGUGAAAGUCCGGGGCUCAACUCCGGAUCUGCGGUGGGUACGGGCAGACUAGAGUGAUGUAGGGGAGACUGGAAUUCCUGGUGUAGCGGUGAAAUGCGCAGAUAUCAGGAGGAACACCGAUGGCGAAGGCAGGUCUCUGGGCAUUAACUGACGCUGAGGAGCGAAAGCAUGGGGAGCGAACAGGAUUAGAUACCCUGGUAGUCCAUGCCGUAAACGUUGGGCACUAGGUGUGGGGGACAUUCCACGUUUUCCGCGCCGUAGCUAACGCAUUAAGUGCCCCGCCUGGGGAGUACGGCCGCAAGGCUAAAACUCAAAGGAAUUGACGGGGGCCCGCACAAGCGGCGGAGCAUGCGGAUUAAUUCGAUGCAACGCGAAGAACCUUACCAAGGCUUGACAUGAACCGGUAAUACCUGGAAACAGGUGCCCCGCUUGCGGUCGGUUUACAGGUGGUGCAUGGUUGUCGUCAGCUCGUGUCGUGAGAUGUUGGGUUAAGUCCCGCAACGAGCGCAACCCUCGUUCUAUGUUGCCAGCGCGUUAUGGCGGGGACUCAUAGGAGACUGCCGGGGUCAACUCGGAGGAAGGUGGGGACGACGUCAAAUCAUCAUGCCCCUUAUGUCUUGGGCUUCACGCAUGCUACAAUGGCCGGUACAAAGGGUUGCGAUACUGUGAGGUGGAGCUAAUCCCAAAAAGCCGGUCUCAGUUCGGAUUGGGGUCUGCAACUCGACCCCAUGAAGUCGGAGUCGCUAGUAAUCGCAGAUCAGCAACGCUGCGGUGAAUACGUUCCCGGGCCUUGUACACACCGCCCGUCAAGUCACGAAAGUUGGUAACACCCGAAGCCGGUGGCCUAACCCCUUGUGGGAGGGAGCUU